CGGAAGGGGGCGAGCGUUGUUCGGAUUUACGUGGGCGUAAAGGGCGCGCAGGCGGCAGACCAAGUCAGGCGUGAAAGCCCCGGGCUCAACCUGGGAACUGCGUCUGGGACUGGUUUGCUAGAGAUCGGGAGAGGAGAGUGGAAUUCCCAGUGUAGAGGUGAAAUUCGUAGAUAUUGGGAAGAACACCGGUGGCGAAGGCGGCUCUCUGGGCCGAUACUGACGCUGAGGCGCGAAAGCGUGGGGAGCAAACAGGAUUAGAUACCCUGGUAGUCCACGCUGUAAACGAUGUGUGCUAGACGUUGGGGAGCCUAGCUCUUCGGUGUCGCAGCUAACGCGGUAAGCACACCGCCUGGGGAGUACGGCCGCAAGGUUA
rnacentral:rRNA from 1 species